rnacentral:rRNA from 1 species
AUUGAACGCUGGCGGCAGGCCUAACACAUGCAAGUCGAGCGGAUGAAGGGAGCUUGCUCCUGGAUUCAGCGGCGGACGGGUGAGUAAUGCCUAGGAAUCUGCCUGGUAGUGGGGGAUAACGUCCGGAAACGGGCGCUAAUACCGCAUACGUCCUGAGGGAGAAAGUGGGGGAUCCUCGGACCUCACGCUAUCAGAUGAGCCUAGGUCGGAUUAGCUAGUUGGUGGGGUAAAGGCCUACCAAGGCGACGAUCCGUAACUGGUCUGAGAGGAUGAUCAGUCACACUGGAACUGAGACACGGUCCAGACUCCUACGGGAGGCAGCAGUGGGGAAUAUUGGACAAUGGGCGAAAGCCUGAUCCAGCCAUGCCGCGUGUGUGAAGAAGGUCUUCGGAUUGUAAAGCACUUUAAGUUGGGAGGAAGGGCAGUAAGUUAAUACCUUGCUGUUUUGACGUUACCAACGGAAUAAGCACCGGCUAACUUCGUG